CGUUAAGAGAUCGCCUCUGUCGUUACUUGCAAUUGCAAAUACGGGAAUGUGAUUGUUGA
rnacentral:ncRNA from 1 species